UACGUAGGGACCGAGCGUUGUCCGGAAUCAUUGGGCGUAAAGAGCGUGUAGGCGGCUAUUUAAGUCCUGCGUGAAAUCCUGCGGCUCAACCGCAGACGGUCGUGGGAAACUGGAUGGCUAGAGUGCGGGAGAGGAGAGUGGAAUUCCCGGUGUAGCGGUGAAAUGCGCAGAUAUCGGGAAGAACACCUGAGGCGAAGGCGGGUUGCUGGGCCGACACUGACGCUGAGGCGCGAAAGCCAGGGGAGCGAACGGG
rnacentral:rRNA from 1 species